rnacentral:lncRNA from 1 species
GAGGACUGAAAGGAGUGGUUGCAUCAGGUCUCCCCCACCCUUCUGCCUCCUGCGGUUGCGGCUUUAUUGUGGCCUCUGCUCCCCUGACACCUGCAUUUCACUUAGCGGGAGAGGCGGUGGCCAACUCAGCACAGGCUGCGGACUCAGCGUGGUGACAGAUCCCUCAAGCUAGAAGACUUCUGUUAGGAGAAGCGUUAUCCUGUCAGUUGAUUACCCUGAGUUAUUAUUAUUGCUGUUUGACAGAUGAAAAACUGACAUGGAGAAAAGUUAGACAAUUCCUCCAAAUCACAAAGAUAGUAAGUUGAAAACUUGUGAAAAGAACUCUGCUAUGUCAUAUUUCAAAGUCUAUGACCUCCCCUAUAUGGUACCUUCACUGAUGCUAUUGAAUUUAAAGCAAAUAAAGGAAAUGAAGCACAGCCCAAGUGUUGAUUGGUGGGAAGAAUAAAACAGUCAGAGUAAAUCUCACAUUGAAUGAACCUCCAGUGUUGUGUUGUUAGUUAGAAUUAAAGUCAUUCUCUAGAGUGUAACUUAAGACAGUAUGUCAUUUAAGGGUCAAGAAAUAGUCUGUUUACUCAGCAUUUAUCAGUCCUUUCUUUCCAAACUUUAAGCUAGCUAUAGAAAAAUUCCAGAGAGCCUGGGGAAAGAAACAAAAGGAAAAUUAGGGAAAAGACUUACAAGGUAUGAAGUAUUAGAGAACAUUUUAAAAGGAUAAUCUAUACGCUAUGUCAUUGAUGGCUGCAGCCAUUCUCUAUGCCCAUAAACUAAAUGGGCCUAACUCUUAACAGUGGCUAUUAGGUUAGUUAGAAGAGGCAUGUUUCUGAAAAUUCCAUAGUGAACUUCAUAGCCAGAGGAAAAUAUCUUAUACUUCUUUCUAUUCAAUCAUCCUUGACUCCGAAAGUGCCUCUUAUUUUCUUUUGGUGGAACAGUGGAAAAAAAAUAUCACACUGGAAGGCCAAUUGACUGAAAUCAAGUCCCUUUUCCUAACUGUGUGAACUGGGUCCUUCACAUCACUAUCCUUCAACAACAAGAAAAACAAAAAACAUCCUAUAAAUGUAUAAAGAAGAAAAUGAAAGUUCUUUCUUUGCUACCCCUAGUUCUCUUCCCCUUCCUAGAGGCUAAACUAUUUUGUGUGCAUGUGUGUGUGUGUGUAGAAUGUACACAUAUAUGUAGGGGAUUGGUUCUAGGACUCUGUCCCCUGUGAAUACCAAAAUUCAGGGACGCCUAAGUUCCUUAUAUAAAAUGAUGCUUAUAACCUACGCACAUCCUCCUGUAUACUUUAAAUAAUCUUGAUUACUUAUAAUAUCUAAAACAGUGUAAAUGCUAUGUAAAUAGUUGUUAUACUGUAUUGUUUAGGAAAUAAUGACAAGAAAAAAGUCUGCACAUGGUCAGAACAGAUUCAACCAUUCUUUUUUUAUAUAUUUUUUUCUGAAUAAUUACAAUCCAUGGUUUGUUGAAUCCACAGAUGCAGAACUGGUGGAUAUGGAGGGCUGACUGUAUACAUGUAUCUUCCCCAUAUAAAUAGAACAAUAUUUUAUAUACUGUUCUUCAAAUGGCAUUUUCCCUUUGAAGCUCUUUUCAAAUAUGUAAAAAUCUAUUUUUAAAAACUGCUGCACAGUAGCUCAUAGAAUGAAUCUACCAUAUUUCCUUUACUCUUUCCCCUCUUGGUGGUCCUUUAGGUGGUGUUUGGUUUUUUUCUAUUAUAAAUAGUGUGCAAUGACCAUGCUUGUAAGUGCUUCUAUACUCAUAUAUGUUUCUCUGAGCACAGAUGCCUAGAUCUAGAAGCCAAACAGAUGGGUUGAAGGUGAUACCUAAUUUUAACAUUUGAUGACUCCUGCCAAAUUACCCUCUGAAAAGAAUUUAACAAUUUAUAUUCCUUCCACAUCAUUGCCUCUUUCCCCACAUCAUAAUGUAAGUCUUCUUAUUUUUUACUCACCAAAGGGAGAGAAAUAUUUACUGUUUAAAACUGAGCACCUUUUAAACUGCUUUUCUUUCUUUAUUGGCUUAACUCUUCAAGAUGUGUCUUUUUUCUGAUUGGACUAUUGUUUUUAUCUUUACUGGCUUUUAGAAGCUCUUUAUAUAAUCUGGAUAAUAAGCUUUCGUCAUCAAUAUAUGUUGCAGAUAUUUCCUCUCAGUGUGUCAUCAGAUUUUGUAUUUAUGUCUAUUUAUUAUGUCUGUGACCAUACAAAUUAUUAAAUUUCUUAUAAGGUUAGGCUAAGCUUCUUUCUUUAUGAGUUAAUGGGGGUUGUCUGUCUUAGAAAGGAUCUCUCAUUCCAAACCUUAAAACUAUUCUCCUAAUAAUUUUAGAUUUGUUCAACUGAGAGAGUGCUUAACUCAGGAGAUCAAUAAAGGUUCAUAGAGGAAGAAGUAUUUGAAAUUGUCCUGGAAGAACAAUAUUUUUCAACAGGCAGAGAUGGAGAAAGGACAAUCUACAUGAACAGAACAGCAUGAGCAAAAAGAACUGGUAGAAAUAUAUUGAGCUUAUUCUUGAAAAUAGCUAGCAGUUUACUCCUCCUUUCUUUUGUAUACUAACAGCAGCACACUGAACAAACUGUUCUGUCAUCUUGUUUUUAUCACUUACCAUAUCUUUGAAAUAUUUCCAUAACCAUCAUAAGGAGUAUCCCUAUUGCUUUUUGAGCAAUGCAUAGAAUUCCAUUUUGUGUGAAUAUCAUAAUUUAUCACUCUUCUAUUUUUAUCACUCCUCUGUUGAUGAUGACUUCCAGUCUUUUGAUAAUAUAAACAGUGCUGUAGUAAAUAAAGUUCUGUAUAUGUCUUUUCCCACAGGUUAGAGACUAUCCAUAGGAUAAAUUUCUAGCAAAUUGCUGAGUCCAGGAUAUGCAUGUUUGCAAUUUUGGAAGAUCUUAAAAACUUGCCUCCUAUAGGUGUUGUACCAGUAUAUACUUCUGCCAGUAAUAGAUGGGUGGGCUGCUGAUGCCUCAAAAUGCUAUACAGGAAGCAUGGCUGAGGAGGCCUCAGG